GGGUCAGUAGGUUGGUCGUGCCACCGGUACGUACUGGUCUCACUGAUUCCUCCUUCCUGAAGAACCGUAAUGUCAUUAAUUUGGUGUUGCGGGGAAACAGGACUGUUACUUUGAAAAAAUUAGAGUGUUUAAAGCAAGCUAACGCUUGAAUACAUUAGCAUGGAAUAAUGAACUAGGACGAUCGAUCCUAUUUUGUUGGUUUCUAGGAUUGACGUA
rnacentral:rRNA from 1 species